UUUUGAGGAUAUUAUAAAGGAUCCCUCAACUGGGGUGCUAACCAUCAAAUAUGACUCAGAAAGCUUCCAUCCACAAGUGAGCUUGAAGAACUCUUGCUGGCAGCUGAUCCUCCUGAGGAUGGCACUGAAUUGGAUGUUGACUUUGGUUGGGACAGUGAUCUGUCAUCGGUUUUACUGCUUAUACACCUGAUUCCACCCUCCGCUCAGGGUCGGAAGAGACCAGGAAAGGUUUCCC